rnacentral:rRNA from 1 species
AAUCAACGCUGGCGGCGUGCCUAACACAUGCAAGUCGAACGCGAAAGCCCCUUCGGGGGUAAGUAGAGUGGCGUCCGGGUGAGUAACACGUAGGUAAUCUACCUUCGGGUGGGGAAUAACCAGUCGAAAGAUUGGCUAAUACCGCAUAAUGCAGCGGCACCUAAUGGUGAUUAGUUGUUAAAGCGGGGGAUCGUAAGACCUCGCGCCUGAAGAGGAGCCUGCGGCAGAUUAGCUAGUUGGGAGGUAAUGGCUCACCAAGGCUUCGAUCUGUAGCUGGUCUGAGAGGACGGCCAGCCACACUGGCACUGACACACGGGCCAGACUCCUACGGGAGGCAGCAGUGGGGAAUUUUGGGCAAUGGGCGAAAGCCUGACCCAGCAACGCCGCGUGAGGGAGGAAAUCCUUCGGGAUGUAAACCUCACAAGCAAGGGAAGAGAGCUCAGGGCCGAAUAAGCUUUGAGUCCGACGGUACCUUGCGUAAGCCACGGCUAACUACGUGCCAGCA